rnacentral:rRNA from 1 species
UACGUAGGGUGCGAGCGUUGUCCGGAAUUAUUGGGCGUAAAGAGCUCGUAGGCGGUCCGUCGCGUCGAAUGUGAAAACCCGGGGCUCAACCCCGGGCUUGCAUUCGAUACGGGCGGACUAGAGUUCGGUAGGGGAGACUGGAAUUCCUGGUGUAGCGGUGAAAUGCGCAGAUAUCGGGAGGAACACCAGUGGCGAAGGCGGUUGCCUGGAGCUUUGCUGACGCUGAGGUGCGAAAGCGUGGGGAGCAAACAGG